rnacentral:misc_RNA from 1 species
GAUGAAGAACGUAGCGAAAUGCGAUAAGUAAUGUGAAUUGCAGAAUCCAGUGAAUCAUCGAAUCUUUGAACGCACAUUGCGCCCGCCAGCAUUCUGGCGGGCAUGCCUGUUCGAGCGUCAUUUCAACCCUCGACCUCCCCUUGGGGAGGUCGGCGUUGGGGACCGGCAGCACACCGCCGGCCCUGAAAUGGAGUGGCGGCCCGUCUGCGGCGACCUCUGCGUAGUAAUACAGCUCGCACCGGAACCCCGACGCGGCCACGCCGUAAAACACCCAACUUCUGAACGUUGACCUCGUAUCAGGUAGGACUACCCGCUGAACUUAAGCAUAUCAAUAAGCGGAGGA